rnacentral:rRNA from 1 species
GGGUUGUGAGGUUAAGUGACUAAGCGUACACGGUGGAUGCCUAGGCAGUCAGAGGCGAUGAAGGGCGUGCUAAUCUGCGAAAAGCGUCGGUAAGGUGAUAUGAACCGUUACAACCGGCGAUACCCGAAUGGGGAAACCCAGUGUGUUUCGACACACUAUCAUGUCAUGAAUACAUAGUGGCAUGAGGCGAACCGGGGGAACUGAAACAUCUAAGUACCCCGAGGAAAAGAAAUCAACCGAGAUUCCCCCAGUAGCGGCGAGCGAACGGGGAGGAGCCCAGAACCUGAAUCGGCUUGUGUGUUAGUGGAAGCGUCUGGAAAGUCGCGCAGCAAAGGGUGAUAGCCCCGUACACUAAAAUGCACAGGUCGUGAGUUCGAUGAGUAGGGCGGGACACGUGACAUCCUGUCUGAAUAUGGGGGGACCAUCCUCCAAGGCUAAAUACUCCUGACUGACCGAUAGUGAACCAGUACCGUGAGGGAAAGGCGAAAAGAACCCCGGCGAGGGGAGUGAAAUAGAACCUGAAACCGUGUACGUACAAGCAGUGGGAGCACCUUCGUGGUGUGACUGCGUACCUUUUGUAUAAUGGGUCAGCGACUUAUAUUUUGUAGCAAGGUUAACCGUAUAGGGGAGCCGUAGGGAAACCGAGUCUUAACUGGGCGAAUAGUUGCAAGGUAUAGACCCGAAACCCGGUGAUCUAGCCAUGGGCAGGUUGAAGGUUGGGUAACACUAACUGGAGGACCGAACCGACUAAUGUUGAAAAAUUAGCGGAUGACUUGUGGCUGGGGGUGAAAGGCCAAUCAAACCGGGAGAUAGCUGGUUCUCCCCGAAAGCUAUUUAGGUAGCGCCUCGUGAACUCAUCUUCGGGGGUAGAGCACUGUUUCGGCUAGGGGGCCAUCCCGGCUUACCAAACCGAUGCAAACUCCGAAUACCGAAGAAUGUUAUCACGGGAGACACACGGCGGGUGCUAACGUCCGUCGUGAAGAGGGAAACAACCCAGACCGCCAGCUAAGGUCCCAAAGUCAUGGUUAAGUGGGAAACGAUGUGGGAAGGCAUAGACAGCCAGGAUGUUGGCUUAGAAGCAGCCAUCAUUUAAAGAAAGCGUAAUAGCUCACUGGUCGAGUCGGCCUGCGCGGAAGAUGUAACGGGGCUAAACCAUGCACCGAAGCUGCGGCAGCGACGCUUAGGCGUUGUUGGGUAGGGGAGCGUUCUGUAAGCCGUUGAAGGUGGCCUGUGAGGGUUGCUGGAGGUAUCAGAAGUGCGAAUGCUGACAUAAGUAACGAUAAAGCGGGUGAAAAGCCCGCUCGCCGGAAGACCAAGGGUUCCUGUCCAACGUUAAUCGGGGCAGGGUGAGUCGACCCCUAAGGCGAGGCUGAAAAGCGUAGUCGAUGGGAAACAGGUUAAUAUUCCUGUACUUGGUGUUACUGCGAAGGGGGGACGGAGAAGGCUAGGCUAGCCGGGCGACGGUUGUCCCGGUUUAAGCGUGUAGGGGGUGUGACCUGGUAAAUCCGGUUGCAUAUCAACCCUGAGGCGUGAUGACGAUGCACUACGGUGCAGAAGUAGUUGAUGCCCUGCUUCCAGGAAAAGCCUCUAAGCUCUAGGUAACAUUAAAUCGUACCCCAAACCGACACAGGUGGUCAGGUAGAGAAUACCAAGGCGCUUGAGAGAACUCGGGUGAAGGAACUAGGCAAAAUGGUGCCGUAACUUCGGGAGAAGGCACGCUGGCAUGUAGGUGAAGUCCCUUGCGGAUGGAGCUGAAGCCAGUCGAAGAUACCAGCUGGCUGCAACUGUUUAAUAAAAACACAGCACUGUGCAAACACGAAAGUGGACGUAUACGGUGUGACGCCUGCCCGGUGCUGGAAGGUUAAUUGAUGGGGUCAGCCGCAAGGCGAAGCUCUUGAUCGAAGCCCCAGUAAACGGCGGCCGUAACUAUAACGGUCCUAAGGUAGCGAAAUUCCUUGUCGGGUAAGUUCCGACCUGCACGAAUGGCGUAAUGAUGGCCAGGCUGUCUCCACCCGAGACUCAGUGAAAUUGAACUCGCUGUGAAGAUGCAGUGUACCCGCGGCAAGACGGAAAGACCCCGUGAACCUUUACUAUAGCUUGACACUGAACAUUGAGCCUUGAUGUGUAGGAUAGGUGGGAGGCUUUGAAGCGUGGACGCCAGUCUGCGUGGAGCCAUCCUUGAAAUACCACCCUUUAAUGUUUGAUGUUCUAACUCGGCCCCAUAAUCUGGGGUGAGGACAGUGUCUGGUGGGUAGUUUGACUGGGGCGGUCUCCUCCCAAAGAGUAACGGAGGAGCACGAAGGUUAGCUAAUCACGGUCGGACAUCGUGAGGUUAGUGCAAAGGCAUAAGCUAGCUUGACUGCGAGAGUGACGGCUCGAGCAGGUACGAAAGUAGGUCUUAGUGAUCCGGUGGUUCUGAAUGGAAGGGCCAUCGCUCAACGGAUAAAAGGUACUCCGGGGAUAACAGGCUGAUACCGCCCAAGAGUUCAUAUCGACGGCGGUGUUUGGCACCUCGAUGUCGGCUCAUCACAUCCUGGGGCUGAAGUAGGUCCCAAGGGUAUGGCUGUUCGCCAUUUAAAGUGGUACGCGAGCUGGGUUUAGAACGUCGUGAGACAGUUCGGUCCCUAUCUGCCGUGGGCGUUGGAAGAUUGAGAGGGGUUGCUCCUAGUACGAGAGGACCGGAGUGAACGCACCACUGGUGUUCGGGUUGUCAUGCCAAUGGCAUUGCCCGGUAGCUAAGUGCGGAAAAGAUAAGCGCUGAAAGCAUCUAAGCGCGAAACUUGCCUCAAGAUGAGUCUUCCCUGGGCCUUUAAGGUCCCUGAAGGAACGUUUAAGACUAAGACGUUGAUAGGCUGGGUGUGUAAGUGCAGCGAUGCAUUGAGCUAACCAGUACUAAUGAUCCGUGAGGCUUAACCUUACAACACCGAAGGUGUUU